GACGAACGCUGGCGGCGUGCCUAAUACAUGCAAGUAGGACGCUGAAGGAGGAGCUUGCUUCUCUGGAUGAGUUGCGAACGGGUGAGUAACGCGUAGGUAACCUGCCUGGUAGCGGGGGAUAACUAUUGGAAACGAUAGCUAAUACCGCAUAAUAGUAGAUGUUGCAUGACAUUUGCUUAAAAGGUGCAAUUGCAUCACUACCAGAUGGACCUGCGUUGUAUUAGCUAGUUGGUGGGGUAACGGCUCACCAAGGCGACGAUUCAUAGCCGACCUGAGAGGGUGAUCGGCCACACUGGGACUGAGACACGGCCCAGACUCCUACGGGAGGCAGCAGUAGGGAAUCUUCGGCAAUGGACGGAAGUCUGACCGAGCAACGCCGCGUGAGUGAAGAAGGUUUUCGGAUCGUAAAGCUCUGUUGUAAGAGAAGAACGAGUGUGAGAGUGGAAAGUUCACACUGUGACGGUAUCUUACCAGAAAGGGACGGCUAACUACGUG
rnacentral:rRNA from 1 species